CUAGUAAUUCCUUGAUGCUAUAAAAUUUUCUCUGUAUUUCUUUUUGUUGGUAACAAGUUUAGGAGUUAUGUCGGAUUUCAUUUCUUGCUGUGUCUUUAAUAUGUCUGGUCUCUAUGCAUAGUACCAAGAGGCAGGAGGCGGAGAAGAAGGUGUAGGCGUCAAAUGCUUAGUCAAACACGCAUUAAACUUGCUCCUGAAAAGGAAGGUGACUGGCAACAACUUCAGCAGUUCUGUAAUCCAUGCGAAGGAAUUCCACAGAUUGAUUGACUUAUUGGAUUGGUGGCUUUGAGUGUUUCAGACAAUUUGGAUUGGCGACUUUGACGUAUAUUAUUAUAAAUCAUGUUGAUUAAAUCUCUAAUAAUUUGAAAUCUCAUUAGUUGUUUUUUAUGCAAUCAAUUUAUAUGGACUUUGUAUGUUGACCUAUUCUUUUGAAUAUUUUAUUUGUUUAGGAUUAUUUAGGAGAC